rnacentral:tRNA from 1 species
GCCACGGUGGCGGAACUGGUAGACGCGCAAGUCUCAAAAACUUGUGAGCAUCACGCUCGUGUCGGUUCGAUCCCGACCCGUGGCA